UUUUAAUGCAUAUUUUGCUAAUUUUUAGGGAAUGAAUGCAUGCUUAUUUAUGCAUUUUUCAGUGCAUAAACUUACGAGCCCUGAUAAUAACUAUUGUGAGUGUUAUCUAUUGAAAAUGAUAGGUCAUACCCUAAACUACACAUAAGUACAAUAAAUCAGAACUAACAUAGCAGGAGCAAAUAUGAUAGUGUCUGGAACUGCAGUGAUUCAAGCUAAAAAUCCACCUCAAGUUAUUCAACUUCUUAAAGAUUCUGUUAAUAAACAUUUGAAUAUAAAACCAAAUUAUUGUUAAUUUUAUUUUUUAAUGAAGUUUAUUGUUGUUAACAUUUAACAUAUUUAUCAAGAGCAGGGAUGGGUAAAUUCCUUGUACCAAAGAAUCCAAUUAAUAAAAUGAAUGUUAAAAU